UUCUUGGAGAGUUUGAUCCUGGCUCAGGACGAACGCUGGCGGCGUGCCUAAUACAUGCAAGUCGAGCGAAUCUUUUGGGGCUUGCCCCAGAAGGUUAGCGGCGGACGGGUGAGUAACACGUGGGCAACCUGCCUGUAUGACUGGGAUAACUUCGGGAAACCGGAGCUAAUACCGGAUAAUCCUUUUCCUCUCAUGUGGAAAAGCUGAAAGUCGGUUUCGGCUGACACUUACAGAUGGGCCCGCGGCGCAUUAGCUAGUUGGUGAGGUAACGGCUCACCAAGGCGACGAUGCGUAGCCGACCUGAGAGGGUGAUCGGCCA
rnacentral:rRNA from 1 species